UACGAAGGGGGCUAGCGUUGCUCGGAAUCACUGGGCGUAAAGGGUGCGUAGGCGGGUAUUUAAGUCAGGGGUGAAAUCCUGGAGCUCAACUCCAGAACUGCCUUUGAUACUGAAGAUCUUGAGUUCGGGAGAGGUGAGUGGAACUGCGAGUGUAGAGGUGAAAUUCGUAGAUAUUCGCAAGAACACCAGUGGCGAAGGCGGCUCACUGGCCCGAUACUGACGCUGAGGCACGAAAGCGUGGGGAGCAAACAGGG
rnacentral:rRNA from 1 species